UCAAAAGCCGGAGCAAUAGGUUCUUUGAAGUGAGACAAAAUUACUAAGGGAGCUAAAGAGCACAAACCAUGCUUAAUAAGAAUGAAACUGAAUUGGGAGGAAAAUUAGCUAUAACGUACAUUUAGAAAGGGAAGAAACGUCAGUGUUGAACCUGAAAACGAUAAUUUUCAAAUUACGCCUGGGGCCACGCACGAGGGGACUGCAAAAUGAAAUCUUGGCUUCUCACUUUGAAAAUGCACUGGAGUUUGACAUGAACGUACACAUUUGACUUUUGCAUUCUGCCGGUUGGUUACACCACAGGACAGCCCGGGUCAGGGACAUCUGUGUCUGAAAGCACUGGAAACCUUCACCAGGUCUCUCGGAGUCUUUCUGGUCCAACAUCUCACAGCGUUGUUAUAACUUCAAUGAACUAUAUACCAGGACUCUUUUCCGUGGAGGCAAGGUACACUCCUGUCUGAAGAACAACUCUUCCGCAGAGGGUCCUGAGCAGAAAUCACAAGGUGAAGUCUGAUGGGACAAUGGAGCAUGCCAGCGAGGAGAGACGAUACACACAUUAUGUGUAUCAGCCAUUCCUUGACACCCCAUUCAUAUUCCUGAUGCCCCAUGAGCACAGAGUUCUAGGGGACCCAUGAUGCAUUGGGUGUUCAAUGAGGCGCCAAUCAAGUACAUGUAAGUAUAUUACACCGACAACAGAGCAAGUGGUGGUGUUGGUGCUGACAGCCUUGAGAGGCGGUGCUUUCUGUUCAAACCAGAAUUUGCUUUUAAAACAGACAGGAGGCAGUGGUGAUCUAAGAAGCAUGAACAACCAAAGAACCCUAUCCGAUCCUUCCUUACUUAUGUUACUGCUGUGAUUGAAUUGGGUCCUGCUGCUUGCUGCGUACAGAAUCAGUUACAUACUGACAAACGGUAGAAAGGAAAGGUGCUUUUAAUCAGAAUGCCGGCAAUCUGCGGAGACGGUGGACUCAAGUGUUCCCCAAAAACCGCCUCUGAAGAUUCUGCUCGGCCAUGAAAGUUUUAAAGGAAAGGAAGGAAGCAAUCUCAGUUAAUCAUUGAGAUGAGGGUCAGAGUCAUCGCCAUUCCCCACUGUGUGCAGGCUUGUCACUCGUGAUCUUCCUCUAGAUGUCAUCUUGUUCAUAGAACUUGGUCACACAGUUUGUUUGGAAGAUUACUGAAGGGGAAGCUAGGGAAGACAUCUUGUUAUCUGUUAAUUACUUAUUCUUCAUUUCUACUUCUUUGAUCUACGGAAAGAACUGACCAGUUAGGGAAGGUAUUUUUUUAUAUAUAUAAAUUUAUUUAUUUGUUUUUAUUUUUGGCCGUGUUGGGUCUUCGUUGCUGUGUGCGGGCUUUCUCUACUUGCGGAGA